rnacentral:rRNA from 1 species
UACGUAGGGGGCGAGCGUUGUCCGGAAUUCCUGGGCGUAAAGAGCUCGUAGGUGGUUUGUCGCGUUGUUCGUGAAAACUCACAGCUCAACUGUGGGCGUGCGGGCGAUACGGGCAGACUAGAGUACUGCAGGGGAGACUGGAAUUCCUGGUGUAGCGGUGGAAUGCGCAGAUAUCAGGAGGAACACCGGUGGCGAAGGCGGGUCUCUGGGCAGUAACUGACGCUGAGGAGCGAAAGCGUGGGGGGCGAACAGG